UGUUUAUAAAAAUAUUAAGGGACAUUAGUAUAAGGUGAUUAGGAUAAUAUUUAGUUACUAUUAUAAUAUAUUCUGUUUGAAAUACUAUAACUUAAGAUGUUCCAGACAUUGCACCACAGACUUUAUACAUUGUGGUGGACAAAACAUGGCCAGAAAUUUAUCAACAUUUCUGCAAUUCAGAGGAGGGCAUCCCAGGAGAAGGCAGAGUCCAGGAGGCGGAUGUUGGGAAGCAAAUCCUGAACUCAUCAAGUCCCAUAGCCCCUUUGUCUAUGGACCUUCUGCCAGCAUCUUCUGUAAGUUUCUUCAAUCAACCCUUAUUUUUCUUUGCUGUGAGGACCAGGAAGGAACCAAUCUGUUUAAAAACUGUUGCCCGCUGGUGGCUCGUUGCCAGGUCUGAGAUAACACUGGUGGUCCCUCUGAGGGCUGAGGACGCAUUCCCCGGGUACUGCAAUCAGAGCAGACGCAUGUGCAGCUGUGGAUGGAGGGAGCUGACGUGUUCUCUCCGGGAGCAGAGGAGCAAAUGUCACGAGAAAAGCCCUUGAAAAUGGUUCUCAUCCCUUUCUCCAUCGCAGACAACCCAGAAUAAACUGUUCUGAAAUGUUGACGUUUAAUAAUAUUAAUAUUAGUAAUGGCUGGAAAGGGCUUCUGGUAAUGAGAUUCCAGGAUAAAUAGGUCACUGGGUUUUCAUUGCUUAUCAAUGAAGUUCCCAAAAAGAUCUUUUUUAAGGAAAUAGGCUCAUGUAAACUUUUUUUUUUUUAAAAAAAGGAAGGAAAUACAUUGUCUUUAUAAUAAGGCAAUGCAAGAGGGAUUUUUGUUGAUUUGUUUUGAGGAACUAUUUAUAAAAUGAUGAAGAUUUUAAAAAAUAAAAAAGGCUGAGCAUGGUGGCUUAUGAAUGUAAUCCCAGCACUUUGAGAGGCCAAGGCAGGAGAAUCGCUUGAGCCCAGAAGUUCAAGAUCAGGCUAGGCAACAUAGUGAGACCUUGUCUCUAAGAAAAAUGAAAAAAAAAAAAAAAAUUAGCCAGGCAUGGUGGCACACACCUGUGGUCCCAGCUACUCGGGAGACUGAGGUGGGAGAAUGGCUUGAGCCCAGGAAGUUGGGGCUGCAGUGAGCCUGUGAUUGCACCACUACACUCCAGCCUGGGUGACAGAGCAAGACCCUGUCUCAAAAAAAAUAAAAAUAAUUUAAAAAGAAAACAAAAUUGAGAAUCCUCUGCUGGUCCCUGUUAUGUCUUACUCAGAAAGUGACAUAGGUGAAUUUUAUCUUAGGAAAAUGUACUGCUACUGUGUUUCCAGCUGUAUCAGUGCAUUCUUACCUUCCCUAAAUUAAAAGCCCAUCACUGCUAGCUCCUAAGGACUCCUUUCAGUACCGCCUUUUCAAUGCCACUUGAGCAUCAUGGUUCUAACAGUUAAGUUUGGCCUGCUUUGCGCUGUAAAACUUGCCUGCAAAUAGCUUGGUGGUCUGCCCUGGAUUUGCCAGGAGCCUGUUUUUUGAAAGGGGCUUAAGGCACAAGGCUGCUGAGUUUGGAAUCAUUUUGCCAACCCUGGCAGCCUCUGUGACUCUAUGAUUUCUUUAAUGUUCCCGUCUUUCUCAUUUCCCUAAAUAAACUGAAGCCUUUACUGGAAGGUCAAGUAAAUGUUACUGUGAAUCACUACUAGUAGAGGCUCCAGAAAAGGGAAUCCUGGUUGCUCUCAAAUAAUCUUGAAAUUUCACUCUUUUAAUUAUUUUUAAGCCCCUGUUCUUAAAAAAAACUGUAGAAACAUAUGUAACAUAUAUAAACCAAAAUGUCUACUGAUUUUCAGGCUAACUGAAGACUAACUAGAAAUAAGUUUAUUGCCCCAAUGCUGUUGUUCAGAAGCUUUCUGAUAUGUUCAUUCACCUUCCUGCCUUAUUAAUCAGAGUAAACAUGAUGAACUGUAUAUUUCUAUGUAACAUCAUAUACCAUACUAAUUUUCACUUGCGUUCUUAAUAUAAUUUAUCUUUUUGGGAAUUGGGCAUUGAACUACAUUAAGUAGUUUCAGUAUCUCCCCUUGAAUAUGUUGAGGGAAUCUUUUGAAAUCAACUUUGUACUGUCAUUUCAUUUUCUUUUCGUAUACAGCUAAGAUUUAUUGAGUGCUUACUGUGAGCCAGACAAUGUGAUAAGUGUUUUAAGUGAAUGAUCUAUUUUAAUGCUUUUUAAAAAUCAACACUGACUUAGUAAUAGUGUUUUCCCUUUAUUAAAGAUGAAGAAACUGAGUUCAGAAAAGUGAACUGACUUACCAAGGUUACUCAACCAGUAAGUGUUGAAAUCAUAACUAAACUGUAGCUGUGUUUGACCACACAGCCUUGCUUACAACUCACAAAAGACUUGAGUUCCAUUCCCAGCUUUGAACUUUAUAGACCAAGUAAUUCUUGACCUCCCCAGGCAUCUUCAUCCUUAUUUAUAAAAUGAAGGUAAUAGUGCCUCCCUUCCAAAGUUGGGGUACUAAGACUUGUGAGAAAUUACUUCCAAACUCUAAAAUGCUAAAUACACGUAAUGUUAUUGCUUUUACAUGUUUAUUAGCUAGCGAUGUCUUUAGUUAAUUGCAUUAGCUAAAUUAACAUAUUAUGCUUAGAUUAUAGGUGGGAAGCCUCACUAUUAGCUAGCGA
rnacentral:lncRNA from 10 species